rnacentral:rRNA from 1 species
UACGUAGGGUGCGAGCGUUAAUCGGAAUUACUGGGCGUAAAGCGUGCGUAGGCGGUUCCUCAAGUCCGUUGUGAAAGCCCCGGGCUCAACCUGGGAAUGGCAGUGGAAACUAGGGGACUGGAAUCUGGCAGAGGGGGGUGGAAUGCCGCGUGUAGCAGUGAAAUGCGUAGAGAUGCGGCGGAACACCGAUGGCGAAGGCAGCCCCCUGGGCUAAGAU